rnacentral:tRNA from 5 species
GGGCUUUUAGCUCAGUUGGUUAGAGCAACAGACUCAUAAUCUGGAGGUCCUUGGUUCAAGCCCAAGAUGGCCCAC